rnacentral:rRNA from 2 species
GGUAUGCAGUCGAACGCGUUGGCCCAAUUGAUUGAUGGUGCUUGCACCUGAUUGAUUUUGGUCGCCAACGAGUGGCGGACGGGUGAGUAACACGUAGGUAACCUGCCCAGAAGCGGGGGACAACAUUUGGAAACAGAUGCUAAUACCGCAUAACAGCGUUGUUCGCAUGAACAACGCUUAAAAGAUGGCUUCUCGCUAUCACUUCUGGAUGGACCUGCGGUGCAUUAGCUUGUUGGUGGGGUAACGGCCUACCAAGGCGAUGAUGCAUAGCCGAGUUGAGAGACUGAUCGGCCACAAUGGGACUGAGACACGGCCCAUACUCCUACGGGAGGCAGCAGUAGGGAAUCUUCCACAAUGGGCGCAAGCCUGAUGGAGCAACACCGCGUGAGUGAAGAAGGGUUUCGGCUCGUAAAGCUCUGUUGUUAAAGAAGAACACGUAUGAGAGUAACUGUUCAUACGUUGACGGUAUUUAACCAGAAAGUCACGGCUAACUACGUGCCAGCAGCCGCGGUAAUACGUAGGUGGCAAGCGUUAUCCGGAUUUAUUGGGCGUAAAGAGAGUGCAGGCGGUUUUCUAAGUCUGAUGUGAAAGCCUUCGGCUUAACCGGAGAAGUGCAUCGGAAACUGGAUAACUUGAGUGCAGAAGAGGGUAGUGGAACUCCAUGUGUAGCGGUGGAAUGCGUAGAUAUAUGGAAGAACACCAGUGGCGAAGGCGGCUACCUGGUCUGCAACUGACGCUGAGACUCGAAAGCAUGGGUAGCGAACAGGAUUAGAUACCCUGGUAGUCCAUGCCGUAAACGAUGAGUGCUAGGUGUUGGAGGGUUUCCGCCCUUCAGUGCCGGAGCUAACGCAUUAAGCACUCCGCCUGGGGAGUACGACCGCAAGGUUGAAACUCAAAGGAAUUGACGGGGGCCCGCACAAGCGGUGGAGCAUGUGGUUUAAUUCGAAGCUACGCGAAGAAC